GUCACAAAGACUGACUGUUCACAACAAGGACUGAAUUUAUUUCGGAUGGCUAAAAAGAACAAGAUUCAUGGGAAAAAGGCGUUGUGGGCAGGGAACUCCAAACAACUAACACCUUGAAAAAGAUGGAUUUUCUACGAAGCGCGUUUCCAUUUUGCUUCAUUAGUCACAUAUACGGCACAGGAGUGGUAAAUGGGUGGAGUGGAUCUUCGCUUUGUUCAACAGAAGAGCACGACGCCUGUCACAGCGGUGAACAGCGCAGCUACGGCGAAACGUUUGACGUGUGUGCGGCAAAGACAUGAGGAGGGCGGAGUAGAAAGGGGGCGUACUUCAAAAGGAUCUGACCAAUACGUACAUCUGUUACAAAGGUAAAUAUGACAUCACCAUUCACAUAUCCGUAGGCUUAGAUAGCUUUGAAUGUGAUUGGUCAAUUUGUAACCAAUCGUAGUCUCUUAUACCUAUAGUGUGUAUCAACGAGUAAUGACAUGCGGGACUAAAUCAAGGUAACCUGCCUCCUAAAACGACAAGAAGAUUGGGUUUAUUGAUUUAUUAUUUGUCCUAAAACCCAAAUUAAGUUUCAAAUUAUAAACUAUAUAUUUUUCAGACAGUAAAGUUAAGAUACAUUUUUUUCGCGAACCAUUUGUUUAUUGUUCUUCAUUUUGAUAGAAGGGAUAGUGGGAAAAUUAAAUGACUUUAUAACAUGUGAGGACCAAGUAGGCCGCGUUUGUUUUUACUUAUCGUUUUACCCGUAUCCAAGAACAUGAAACGUACUUUGAGACGUAUCUCUAGUAUAUACUAAACAUAUCUGCGACUUAUUUUUGAGUGCAGUUUACCUCGUCGCUCAAGAGUUGUUUGUUGACAUUUCCAUUGUCCGUCCUCUUACACCUCAUUUACCAACUUGUUAAAGAUAAUUACCGGUGGCUCAAACAUGAAUACAAUUGAGCUCCACCUAAGUGUAAAAGUAUCGUGGGAACCACUUGAUGGAUUUGUUACAUCAAUGCCAUCUUAUAUAACAAGCAUUUAUCGUGCUGAUGCUUUUUUUUUCGUCUGCAUAAAAUGAGCUAAUAGCAUUGAACGUAAAUACCCUCUCUUAAUUUUUUAAGGAGCAAACAAGAGUAAAUCAUAAGCGUGCAGGACAACUCUUGACCUCAGAUGAAAACUAAGAGUCGUCCUUCAUUGACCUCUGAUAACUUCGUGCUUCUGUUACGGACAGACAUUAACCCAAUUAAAGAUUUUUCAGUUGAAAAAUGAUUGAAGACAUCUGGGUGUCACCAAGACCUUCCAGACAAUUAAACAUUUGACACGGUUUUUGGGUGGCAACACUUAUCUAUUGUAACAAUACCUAUUGGUGAAGCAAAUAUCUUGUGUGUCGUUACAGUAGCUUUACUGUUAUUUUUGUGGAGGUCGUUUGUAUACCGGUAAAACAAAAUAAUGGCCUUCGAUAACUCUACGUUGCCCUUGCAAAUGGUGCCUCUAUGGAGCAAGUGAAGAUGUUAUAUAAGGCUUUCUUUGAUAAUCCGUCAGCUGCAAAAUCGUUAAUUAGUUGGACAAAUGUCAAUUUUUAACCGUGGGAAAACAUGGCGUUAUGUAAGGCUUCCUUCGGUAAUCAUUUAACCAAAAAAUCGGUAAUUGGAUGGACAAAUGUCAAUUGUAAACCGUGGGAAAACAUGACGCAUACAUAUUUGCCUUAUCGGUUAGAUGACCUUUGACGUCAUGAGGUCACCUCAUGUUGUGUUUUAUGCGUGGACAUCUUUGUUCGUAUGGUGAUGUAUGAUUACAGGGUUAAGGUCUUCAACAUGAAGAGGUGAUUAGACGCCUGAAAACUGCGGGUAUAAGUAAUUACCAAGAAUUUAAAUGCUAAAGAUUGGGGUACAGUUAAAAAAUAUUUGAAAAUGAGCUUAAAUGUUCCAGCUCGUUGUCUUUUAAUAGCAUAUUUUAUUUUACUAGCGGAGGUAAUGGAACUGCAGCCAACGCAAAGGUAGUACUUGGGAGAAUAUCUUGCUUAAUUAAGUCGAGUCCAUCCGGUCUCGAAGUAUCGUAGGACGCAAAUUCUCGCCAGCCGAAGAAACAACUUAUAGUCUCAAAACGUACCCUCUACAUUACAACACGGUUUCUGCCGUGCACAAAAAAAAUGACUACCGCCUGUAUACGUACCACACACGUUUUACUUUACGGACGAUAUGAAUAUUGUGACGAUGUGAUUUUUGCAUGUGCCGGAUAAAUGGUAAUUUCCAAGUGAGAAGCGUCACCUAGCAAUCCUUAUUAGAACUGCAUUUUUUUUUACUAUUUUCAGACUUUUUAUCCUUGUGGAUCAAAAGCGUAACCUGGCGGUAAAUUGUGGAACUGCAACGAUUUGUGGUCAAGAAUCGUAAAUCGGAGAUCUUAAUAGAGAAACCUGACUCAUGAUGAAAGACGUAACGAAUGAAUUCUAACUAUCGCUACACGCUUCCCGGUGACGUGAAAUACGUCCUUUCGUUUUUCGUCCUCCUUUUUAAAUGGAAAUUGGCAAAUAUUUUGUAUGAAUAUCUUAAGAAAAUUGACUCUUUCAAACACAAGAAUAGUUUAGAGAUUGUUAGAAAUGUUCCUUGGCAAGUUGAAUUCAGGCUUUGUGACAGUUUGUAGCGACAAGGGUGAAAUGGCAACUCGGGAACUUAAUCCCUCAGCUUUGAAUCAUGUGUCUUUUUGUUAAUUUAGACAUUUAAGUAAAACAACGAAGUGGCGAAAUUUCAACGGUCGCUUUUUGUCUGCCUUUAUAAAGUCAGCAUAGCGCCUGAGAGUCAAGUAUACUAUUAAUACAUCGGUCUUACUAAGAAAAGCAGUUGUUGUUUCAGCGAGCACGUCGAGACAUGGCCAUCCGUUACCACUCCUGAUAUUGUAAACUACUCAGUGUCCUCGCCGAACAAUAUGUAAUAUAUGGUCAAAUGAAAGCUUAAAAGAGUCUGGAAGCUCACAACGAUUUUCCGUCAGGAUGUGUCCACAAUGCCCUAUCUUAGAGGAGAUACAGCAUUCAUUACCAGGCGGGUUGUCCAUUCACAAAGUAUCAGCAAAACAAUAACAAAACCUUUGAUACUGGCCCAGAAGGAUGGGAAUAUCAGGAAGGACAGCUGGUUCAGGAGAAAGAUUUGUUCAUAUAGCAGCUGUUCUGUUCAGAGCUCAGGCAGCUAUUCUUUUCCGAGAGGAGAGAACAGUCGCACAAGAUAAGCGUACUGGUUUUGCCCGCUGCACUGGCGAAAAAAAUGGAAUACUUACCUGCUGAAAACAUCGACUCCACAUCGGCCGAAAGCAAAAAAAAAAAAAUGAAUAAAUAAAAAUAAAAAUUGGACACUACAUUAGAUAUGGGUAGCAUGUCUGGCAAAUCUGCAUCACUUCAAAAAAAGGUUCGUAUUUCAACACUCUCUAAGCAGGAGACUGAAGAGUCCUUUGCUUAUUUUGAACGAAAGUAUCAAACUUUAUUUUGAAAACGACAAAUUUGCUCCUUCAUGAAUACUUGACGUAAACACGGAAAUUAAUAUUUCCCCUGCGGGCGUGAAGUAACCUAAUGCAGAAACGCACUGAUCAUCAGUAAGUAGUAAAGGCACUCGUCGGUCUCGCAGGACCAUGAGUAGUACUAAUUCUACACAAUGCACUUAUUGUUUGUUUUUACGUUUUGAGCGUCUCUGUUCUGAUGCAAGUCUCUGCUUUGCUUCCCCCCGUUUCAGUCCCUCCUUGACUUCCUGUCUCCAAAGAGUUCUAUUUGCUGCAAGUGACUCCCAUGUGUUGAUGCUCAUGUCAAGGGCCUUUAAGUCCCGUUUGAUAACAUCCUUAAAACGUAGGUGGGGACGGCCACGUGUUCUUGUCCCAGUAGCCAGUUCACUGUACAAUAAAUCCUUUGGAAUCCUCCCAUCUGGCAUGCGGCACACA